rnacentral:rRNA from 1 species
UGGGGAAUUUUGCACAAUGGGGGAAACCCUGAUGCAGCGACGCCGCGUGAUUUAGAAGGCCUUCGGGUUGUAAAAAUCUUUUCUAUGGGAAGAAAAUGACAGUACCAUAGGAAUAAGGACCGGCUAAUUACGUGCCAGCAGCCGCGGUAAUACGUAAGGUCCGAGCGUUAUCCGGAUUUACUGGGCGUAAAGGGUGCGUAGGUGGUCCUUCAAGUCGGUGGUUAAAGGCUACGGCUCAACCGUAGUAAGCCGCCGAAACUGGAGGACUUGAGUGCAGGAGAGGAAAGUGGAAUUCCCAGUGUAGCGGUGAAAUGCGUAGAUAUUGGGAGGAACACCAGUAGCGAAGGCGGCUUUCUGGACUGCAACUGACACUGAGGCACGAAAGCGUGGGUAGCAAACAGG